rnacentral:tRNA from 1 species
UUGCCCGUAGUCUAGUGGUAUGACGUCGCCCUCACGCGGCGAAGAAGAGGGUUCGAUUCCCUCCGGGCCCA